ACCUUUUGUAUAAUGGGUCAGCGACUUAUAUUCUGUAGCAAGGUUAACCGUAUAGGGGAGCCGGAGGGAAACCGAGUCUUAAUUGGGCGUUAAGUUGCAGGGUAUAGACCCGAAACCCGGUGAUCUAGCCAUGGGCAGGUUGAAGGUUGGGUAACACUAACUGGAGGACCGAACCGACUAAUGUUGAAAAAUUAGCGGAUGACCUGUGGCUGGGGGUGAAAGGCCAAUCAAACCGGGAGAUAGCUGGUUCUCCCCGAAAGCUAUUUAGGUAGCGCCUCGUGAAUUCAUCUCCGGGGGUAGAGCACUGUUUCGGCUAGGGGGCCAUCCCGGCUUACCAACCCGAUGCAAACUGCGAAUACCGGAGAAUGUUAUCACGGGAGACACACGGCGGGUGCUAACGUCCGUCGUGAAGAGGGAAACAACCCAGACCGCCAGCUAAGGUCCCAAAGUCAUGGUUAAGUGGGAAACGAUGUGGGAAGGCCCAGACAGCCAGGAUGUUGGCUUAGAAGCAGCCAUCAUUUAAAGAAAGCGUAAUAGCUCACUGGUCGAGUCGGCCUGCGCGGAAGAUGUAACGGGGCUAAACCAUG
rnacentral:rRNA from 1 species